CAGCACAGCAGCUCCUCACUGCCAGAUGAGAUGAAGACAUUUACAUCGCUCACUAACUGGACGGCGCGGAGACUUCUGGGAAAUAGAGUCUUGGUACUUGUUUCGCUCUCCGGUCGGGCUUUGGCAGGCGGACUUCCGGCGUCCUCCUGCGCAGGUGCGCCUCACGGUUUCUGAGGGUUGGCGCACGCGCGCCGUCGCCGCGCCGCCUUCGCUUCCUGUGCGUGCGCAGGUCGGCUAUGGUCGUCGUUCCGCCGUUUUGGCCUCUUGCCGAACAUUCGGGGCUUGCGGGGCUGGACGCCGUCGGGCCCGGCCGGCAACAAGCGCGAGCGGGGUUAGCGGGCGAGGGUUCGCGCAGGCCGGGCGGAGGCUGGAAGUGGGACCGCCGAGCUUGAGCCGCGGAGCCCGCGGCCUGGGCCGGAGUGGCCGAACGGCCGGCGGCGGUCCGCGGCAUAGCGAGUUCCCGGGAGAGCCGUGGGCCUGAAGGGAGUUUGUGCCGUAGGCCCAGAGCCGGCUCCUCGGGCCCAGUGGCCUAGGGAGGCGGAGAGGAGGGACCCCGAGAGAGGAGCGCGCCGGAGGAGCAGCCCCCGGACCGGAGCCUCGGGAGCCCGGGGACGGUCAGCGAGUCUCGACGGGGUUGGUCCGCCUCCACUGUCACAGUCCUGCACGCUGUUCCAAGAGCAGCAGAAAAUGAAUCAGCCCCUGGUUUGGACAAGUGUGAUGACCUGCAGCCACCACUGCAGUGCUACCCAGAAGCACUUCACUGCCCGAAACAUCCGUGCCGGUCACCUGUUCAUUCCCCCCCCAGUGUCCCCGAGCCCCCGACAGCUGCUGAUCUUGUUACUGUCUGUGUAUUUUUGCCCUUUCCAGAAUGUCACGUAGUUGGAAUCCUUCUGUCUGUGGUCUUUUCAGACUGGUGUAUUUCUGUUUUUACAUGAAGGGCCUGUCAUGUGCAUUGCCCGUCUUCCUGCCCCAAUACUGUCUUGUUUUGUUCUGUUUCGUUCUGUUUUGUUUUCCUUGUCUUAUUGGCUUUCAGAGUCGUGUUAAAUGUUUCUAAAUUUUUCCAGUUGGGGUCAUGUUAGUAAACAUUGUUUUCCAAAGGUUAUUGUCUUUUUCCUGUAUUUUCCAGCAUUGCUAUGUAAUUCAUUACUUUUUUUUUACUUUGAGAGGUUGAAUACUAUGCAUUUCAAAAGUUUCUAGAAAUCAGCACGUUUGUGUGGGUAAGAGUCCUAGUUGAAGAGCACCCUCCUUGGUCAGUACUGAGGUGCAGCUUCUUUGCGGGCGGAGGCGCGUGAGGGGGGAGGAAUGCGUCGGUCUCGUGGUUCCCUUUCUGCUGGGUCUCAGUUCCCCUUUCUGGUUCUGGGCAGUGCAUCAGCCACUCUCCUGGGACAGGCCAGGCAGGUGGGAUCCUCGCUUCCUGGCUGUGGAGGCUGUGUGUGUCUGGGAACACCUUUCUUUUUCCCUGAGGAGCGAGAGGACCCUUUUGGUUGUGGAGCAGCGUCCUAGGACUGCGGCCCCUGGGCCCCCGCUGUUGUGUGUCAUUUGGGCCCCAGCCAUGCAUGGGAGAUCUCUGACACAGGGACGCAGCUGUUAAAGCCCUCUUGGGGUUUUGUCACGUACAAUCCUCUGAGGAAUACUCCUUUUCUCUAAUGGAAUUCCAGUGCUUAAGCUUUCUAGCCACUCAUGAAAAGAAUCUCAGAAAGGAAAGGAGACCUGUCCUCUCUGCCACCAAGCAGGGGAGUGAGCCGACACUGUGAACGUAACGCUGAGAAAGUGGCUUGUGGGAAAUGUGUAACCAGUUCUGAGUUGUGGGAUUACAAGGCUGUCUGUGUGGAAUCUUACUGUACCAAGUGGUCUUUUAAGACACAUACGUCGUGGGUUGUUUCCUUGUGUUUUGAAACUGACCAAAACCCCUCAGUAUUUGCAGUUCUGAUUGCUUUCUUAAUUUGUUAUCCAGGUUUCCUGACAUCCAUUUUUUUAAGUUUAAAGUGCAAUUUUCUCAUCUUCCCUUUACAUAAAAGUGAACGUGGGCAAGCCACUUAACCCAUCACCAAAUAGAAAAUCAUCUGGAACAUUCACAUGAAUGCUGUUUUCAAGCAGCAACAGUGCAUAUAUUUUUAUGCCCGUUACCAGUGAAAACUAUAAUGUUUUCUUAUUGUGCUGUUUUUUUCUCAUCUGGCAAAAUUACAAGCAAUUAGAAAAGCCCCUCAAAUCACACAUUUUGUGAAAUUACAAAUGCAGAACCGGAAAGGAGAAUAAGGUGUGCGUGAUUCUACUUACGCUUUAAAAUGAGAGUAGUUCAUGGUCUGAUCCCUCACUCUCUUGCAUUUGGUAAUAACUUUCAGUGUGUGAACGUGUGGGCCCCCAGUCUUCAUCCGGGCAGCCACAGGUGUGACCAGUGACGCCUGAAUGGAAUAUGGGCAGAGCUUCUGGAAGACUUGCUGUCGAUUUCUGAGACAGGCUUCUCGAGGCUGAGCCGAGGCAGUUCUGCACAGACGCUCGUCUGCCUUGGGCGGCAACCAGCUCUUCCCCCCGCCCCGCUCACCCCCCACCCCCUGGUGUCCUGUCAGCAGGUGGGCACCCUCAGCCUUCCCAGGCCAGCAAAGCCUGGGUCCCGGACGUCUCUGCAUCUGGAGCUGGGGGUCAGGUGAUCUGGCAUCUCAGGGGACCUUGCUAACAGGACCCAUCCUGCCUCUUCGAUUGUUACACAUAAAGAACUUUGAUUUUCAGUCAAUGUCAGGAGUUUGUUGCCAUCUUAAACGGCCUCUGUGCUUGGCGUGGUCUUUUCCUU